rnacentral:misc_RNA from 1 species
ACAUUGCGUUAGGGAUUGAACGGUUUGUUUGAGCUCUUUUUUUGGUGCCUUUUUGCACUUAAAAAAAGCGAGUAGUGAAAGCCCGACCUGAA